UGAAAGAGCAAAAUAUCAUGAUCUGAUGAUCCCAUAUAUCCAGUGGAAACGUCAUGAAAAACAGCUUUCUGUUCCGAACUCACUGGUGCGGAAACUCCGAGGACCCGGAAUAAGCUAGUUGAUAAAAUGUUGCAAGCAAACGCUAGCGACAGCUUCUGGCUGGAUCGAUUUGAUCCAAUAUUGCACUUCACCAGCAAUAGGUCAAUUCAAGACAGAUAGAAAGGGAUGCAGACAGGCUGUCUUCUCCCUGGACCUCCUCAAUGUCCGCCACGUAUUGUAGACUCGUCAACAGAGAUGUUAGCAUCUUCCAGAGAUUUCUUCCAGAAGACGAAGGGUCUAGGCAUUGAAGAAAUAUCUACAUGUGUGCACCCCAGACCUGCAAAGAGCUAUAUUGGGUGAGCGAGGAACAUCUUCCCAGUGGAUGCCAAGAAGAAGCGUAGGCCUAAUAACCUAACCUAUGCCAAAGACAGGAGUAGUAGCUACUGCCACAUUGUACAUCAUGUCACUCAGAUGAUAGAAUGGGACGACUCUAGUGUUACUGCUACCACAGGAUGUUUCUAAAUGGUUGGAAAGACCAGGAUGUUGAAUUGUGGGUGGUGGGG
rnacentral:lncRNA from 1 species